rnacentral:rRNA from 1 species
GACGAACGCUGGCGGCGUGCUUAACACAUGCAAGUCGAACGAAGUGGCGAACGGGUGAGUAACGCGUAAUCAACCUGCCCUUCAGAGGGGGACAACAGUUGGAAACGACUGCUAAUACCGCAUACUGAAGGAGGGGAUUGCGUCUGAUUAGCUAGUUGGAGGGGUAACGGCCCCCCAAGGCGAUGAUCAGUAGCCGGUCUGAGAGGAUUAACCGCCCCAUUUGGACUUAGACCCGGCCCAGACUCCUACGUGAGGCAGCAGUUGGGAAUCUUCCGCCAUGGACGAAAGUCUUACGGAGCCACGCCGCGUGAGUGAUGACGGCCUUCGGGUUUUAAAGCUCUGUUAAUCGGGACGCGGUACCGGAAUAGAAAGCCACGGCUAACUACGUGCCAGCAGCCGCGGUAAUUC